GACGAACGCUGGCGGCGUGCUUAACGCAUGCAAGUCGAACGGAAAGGCCCUGCUUUUGUGGGUUGCUCGAGUGGCGAACGGGUGAGUAACACGUGAGUAACCUGCCCUUGUCUUUGGGAUAACUUCAGGAAACUGGGGCUAAUACCGGAUAGGAGCUCCUGCUGCAUGGUGGGGGUUGGAAAGUUUCGGCGGUUGGGGAUGGACUCGCGGCUUAUCAGCUUGUUGGUGGGGUAGUGGCUUACCAAGGCUUUGACGGGUAGCCGGCCUGAGAGGGUGACCGGCGACAUUGGGACUGAGAUACGGACCAGACUCCUACGGGAGGCAGCAGGGGGGAAUAUUGCAGAGUGGGCGGAAGCCUGAGGCAGCAACGCCGCGUGCGGGAAGACGGCCUUCGGGUUGUAAACCGCUGUCGCCUGUGACGAAGCGGGAGUGACGGUAAUGGGUAAAGAAGCACCGGCUAACUACGUG
rnacentral:rRNA from 1 species